GUGUCAGCAGCCGCGGUAAUACGGAGGGUGCAAGCGUUAAUCGGAAUUACUGGGCGUAAAGCGCGCGUAGGCGGUUUAAUAAGCGGAGUGUGAAAUCCCCGGGCUCAACCUGGGAACUGCAUUCCGAACUGUUAAGCUAGAGUAUGGUAGAGGGUGGCGGAAUUCCGAGUGUAGCGGUGAAAUGCGUAGAUAUUCGGAGGAACACCAGUGGCGAAGGCGGCCACCUGGACCAAUACUGACGCUGAGGCGCGAAAGCGUGGGGAGCAAACAGGAUUAGAAACCCUUGUAGUCC
rnacentral:rRNA from 1 species